UCCGGCGUAGUCCAACGGCUAGGAUAUUAGCUUUUCAAUUUAUGAUAAGCACGCUAAGGAUCCGGGUUCGAUUCCCGGCGCUGGAG
rfam:Thecamonas trahens ATCC 50062 unplaced genomic scaffold supercont1.34, whole genome shotgun sequence.